rnacentral:sRNA from 1 species
CCGCUAGCUGGCUCCUGGUAUUUGUUCAACAAUAUAGAAAAUAGAAAUUGUGGCUCAAUUAAUACAGCAUUAUUCAUUACCAUUACCAUUAUUAUUAUUGUUAUUUCCGAGCUCUAGGGAUUAUUUUAUUGUUGCAGUUGUUAUCUCACAUGGAGCCCUUGAAGGGUGGGAAGUCCUGACCCUCAAAGUCCAACAAUGUCCCAUCGGAUGGGCUCCUGCGUUUCUUUUUUCUUCUCUUUUCUUUUCGAGUAUGAAUACAAAGUUGUAUGUCUAAAGGCGUCUUCUAAGCUAGAGAAAUAUAUGGCAGCUGAGGUUGGGGGUUGGAAGAUAUAUAUUAUAUACUACUAACUAUAACUGGAUAGUUCUAUGUCAGUUCUCGUUGAAAAUUGGUGCGUUCUGCUUUAUCCAUUCUUUCGUUACUUUAUUUGUUGGGUUCGCUUAUUGCUGGCGAUUUGACUGAGGAGCGUUCGAAGCUCGACUGCUCCUCGGACAGCGACAAUGGUUUGUAGAGUGUAGCAUGAUGGAUUUGUGGGGGGGGGGUUGUAUGGGCGUGUUGUAAAGUACUGUACAUAAUAAGUGUUUCCACACGCUAUCGCCGCAUUUUGCGAUAUCUCGGGUU